UCUCGCGCACCCCGCUGCCGCCAGCUCGAGCGCCCCGCGCCGCCACUGCGCGCCCUGCCGCCGCCACCCCAUGCGCCCCGCUCCGCCAGCCCGCGCCUCCACCCCGCGUGCCGCCCGCUCGCCAGCCCCACGUCGCCUGGCCUCCUCCGAGCCCGACGCCGACAAGGCGGCGCUGCUGGCGUUCCUCUCCGGCGUGGGUCACGGCGCCACCGCCUGUCCGCGCUCGCGGGCCUCCACCUCCACCACAACGCCUUCUCCGGCGCGCUCCCCGCCGCCCUCGCGGGGCUGACCACGCUCCAGGUGCUCGACCUCUCCUUGAACGCCUUCGACGGCGUCGUGCCUGGCGCGCUCGCCAACCUCACCCGCCUCGUCGUGCUCGACCUCUCCAACAACUCGCUGUCCAGUCGCGCGGAGGUGGCAAACCAGAUGCGUUUCUCUCGUCAUGCCUUGGCUGGCAUGCCCAUCCCUCGGUUUUCUGUUCUUGGAGUAGGAUGUUUCCAAAAAGGUGUCUAGAUCUGAUGGGGUUUCCACUGAGAGAUCUACUAGAUUGAGGUUUAGCCAGGAUCAUGCUGCCAAAUCAAAAGCAAAGCUCAAGGGUGCUUUCUCUUUACUUGGACUGAACAAUGACACCUUCAAAGGUAAAGGACCUCAUACCUCCAAAAGGCUUCAGUUGAAGGACCUGUCCUGGAGAUCAAAGGAUACUACUAUCAAUGUGAAAGAGAACCAUGAUCAAGAGACAGUGCAUGAGGAGAAUACCAAGUCCUGUGAACAUGAAUAUGGGAGUUACUGCCUCUGGUCUACUGAACACAGGGAAGUAAUGAAGGAUGCCAUUGUCAAGAAGCUUAAAGAUCAACUUUUUAUGGCAAGAGCUCAUUAUCCUAGCAUUGCAAAAUUGAAGCAGCAUGAAGCAUUUACAAGUGAACUGAAGCAAAACAUCCAAGAACAUGAACGCAUGCUAAGUGACACCAUCACAGAUGCUGAUCUUCCACCAUUUUUUGCAAAGAAGCUGGAGAAGAUGGAGCACACAAUUGUGAGAGCCAAGUCUAGUGAAGUAGGAUGCUCCAAUGUUGAACGGAAACUUAGGCAGCUACUUGAUAUAACUGAAAAUGAAGCUUAUUUCCAUACAAGGCAGAGUGCAUUUCUAUAUCAUCUUGGAGUGCAGACUAUGCCGAAAACUCACCAUUGCUUGAACAUGAGAUUGACAGUAGAAUAUUUUAAGUCUGGAUCAAGUCAUGUGGAUCAGUUAAAUGACCAGAAGCUUGAAAGUCCUGCCUUACAUCACUAUGUAAUAUUUUCCAGGAAUGUACUUGCAGCUUCCACCACUAUCAAUUCAACGGUUAUGAACUCCCAGGUCUCUCUCUCUCGGACACUUAUAUUAAAUAGAAACGAAACGCUCCGGAUGUCGCUUGCCGCGCGCGCGGCGUGCAGUUGUGAUCUCUGCCAGGAGUAGAGUGUGGGAUGGGGAUGCAUAACGAGCAGUGCUGCAGCAGGCAGGGAUUGUAAGUUGUAACCUUGAGCAGCUUGUGGUUCAUGGUGCCCCCGUUCUCCAGAUGCCGGCUGCCACGCGCCCCGAGGCCGGCGAGCUCCUGGUGCUCGACCUCUCCUUCAACGCCUUCGAAGGCGCCGUCCCUAGCGCGCUCGCCAACCUCAACCGCCUAAUCCUAGACGAUUAGGAUUGGGGGUUAACAGUAAAUAAAGGCAAUGCAGAAUCAAAAGGCUACCAAGUGUGGAAAAGGAUUCUGGCUCUCAUCAAGUGACUCCUCCCCCUCACGAUGACUUUGCGGACAUAUGUCUCAAUUCUAGUGGUGGAGCUACGAACAACAAUCCGAUGUCCUGAUCGAGAGCGAUGAAGCUAAUGUUUGAACUUGUGAACUAAAAAUAUGAACUAUGGAUGUGAACUUAUGUGAAUUUGUGAACUUGUAUUUGGACUUAUGUGAAUUUGUGAACUUAUGUAUUUGGACUUGUUGUGUGAAUUUGUGAUAUGAACAU